GACGUAGGAGGCGAGCGUUGUCCGGAAUUAUUGGGCGUAAAGAGCUCGUAGGCGGUCUGUUGCGUCCGCUGUGAAAACUCGAGGCUCAACUUCGAACUGUCGGUGGAAACUUUCUGGCUAGAGUCCGGAAGAGGAGAAUGGAAUUCCUGGUGUAGCGGUGAAAUACGCAGAUAUCAAAAAAAACACCCAUAACAAAAACAAUUCUCUAAAAACAGUACUAACACUAAAGACGCGAAAGCGUAAAAAAACGAACAGG
rnacentral:rRNA from 1 species